CCCUCAAACCCCCGCCACCGCCAGCCACUUUCUACCACUACGGAAUAUUUAUUUUAUUUUAUUUUGUAAGAUGUAAGAUCAUUUUUUUUCCUUUCCUGUUAGUUACUAUCUUUGAUUAAAUAUUCAUAUUUUGGAAUUCUACUUACUCGGCAAUUGCAUGGGGAGAGGCAGGAUUGGGGGUGACACACACUGCAUUGAGUGAUGCCAGAGAAAUUUAUGCAAAAAAAACUUACCAACUUCAUUGAAAAGCGACUCAAGUCAGAAAGGGCUGCUUCUAUUUGGACAAGCACAUUGCAACAAACUAUUGAAAUGGCCAGAAAGUUAGAAAUAGUUUUGUAAGCGAUGUUGUGGAGA